rnacentral:rRNA from 1 species
UCGGGAAUUUUGGGCAAUGGGCGAAAGCCUGACCCAGCAACGCCGCGUGAAGGAUGAAGUAUUUCGGUAUGUAAACUUCGAAAGAAUGGGAAGAAUAAAUGACGGUACCAUUUAUAAGCUCCGGCUAACUACGUGCCAGCAGCCGCGGUAAUACGUAGGGAGCAAGCGUUGUUCGGAUUUACUGGGCGUAAAGGGCGCGUAGGCGGCGCGGUAAGUCACUUGUGAAAUCUCUGAGCUUAACUCAGAACGGCCAAGUGAUACUGCAGUGCUAGAGUGCAGAAGGGGCAAUCGGAAUUCUUGGUGUAGCGGUGAAAUGCGUAGAUAUCAGGAGGAACACCGGUGGCGAAGGCGCACAUCUGGCCCGAUACCGACGCUGAGGCGCGAAAGCUAGGGGAGCAAA